rnacentral:misc_RNA from 1 species
ACUGACAAUGAGAGGGCUUUAGAGGAACUUUUUGGGGAUGAGGAGGAUUCUCGCAAAGGUGAUGCAUGUUUGAACGUGAUGGCUACUCGCAUCGCUACUGUUUUUGCUUCUUUAAGGGAAUUUCCUUUUGUGCGCUAUCGUGCUGCCAAGUCCAUUGAUGUUACCACAAUGACAACUUUUCAUGAUUUGAUUCCCACAAAACUUGCUGCUAGAGUUUGGGACCGUCUAAUGCAUUAUAAACAAAAGAUUGAAAACUUUCCUCAGACAGAAACAUGCGAGCUGCUCAUCUUGGACAGAUCUAUAGAUCAGAUUGCUCCUAUUAUACAUGAGUGGACAUAUGAUGCCAUGUGCCAUGAUUUACUGAAUAUGGAG